UGAAUUCCCACUAGAGGGCAGUGUUGUUUUAGUUUUUUGUCAGGCCUUAUUAAGGACAGCUAAGCAAGUUGUGGGUCCUUUGUUAGACAUCUUGUGCAUGGGCAUUUAUUCCACCCGGGGCAGGCAACAGAGAACUGUGUAUGCGUGUUUGAGCCACAGUAAGUCACCUAAACAUGACGUUCUGUUUUCAAUGUAUCCUUUAUUGUUAUUGUAGUCGCCACGCCUGUUAAAGUAGAUUAUAGAAUGCCAUUUAAUAUAAAUGUUUAGAUGUUGGGUGCAGUGUUUCUGCUAAGCUAAGCUAUUAAUGUUAAUACUGCUAAGCUAAAGUAUUACCAGAAUGGAGCUAACUUGUUUGAAGGUGUCUUUAUGUCGUUAAGAGAGGAAUGCUAACACAUUUACAUAGCUAAACAUAUUUUAUUUUCUGUCAUUUCAGGACCAUACACCGUUCACAUACAUACAAACAUACAUCCAUCUGUGGGUGAACUAGAGAUAUCUGUUAGCCCUGUUGCCUGCUUCCGCCACCGUGUAAUAGUUCAAGUCCGGCAUAAUUAAAGCCAAGUGGACUCAUAAACUCUGCCUGUUCAUUGCUCUCUUACCGGAGCCCACUGCUGAUGAAGGGCUGGCGCCAUCUUCACCACAUUACAGUCCCAAACGUAACAUUGGUCCUUCGAGCCGGAUCCUUUCACCUGCAGUGCCGUUGCCAUGGCAGAGCAUAAUAUAUUGCCUCAGAGUACACGGAGAGCUCCACGGACCAGACAUCCUCCUGCACAUCUUCACGAUUUAAUGGUGAAUCUGCCACCAUCCUUGUCCCAGAGUCGACAUCUGAGUGCCAGCACACCAGAGCUGCGGUCACACAGCACAGCACCAGCACACUGUUCAGUGAGUGACCAGCUAUCUACAGUGCUCGGGCAUCAGAUGAGACUUGACCAGGGAUCGAGGGAUGAUGUAGAUGCAGCGGAGCAGUCCACUUCAGCGAGUUCUCUGAGCAGCAGUAUGAUUGCAGUCGAAUUUGGCAUGGGGGAACAGCAGUGGAAGGGGAACGUGAAUCAACCCAGUAGCCACAUGCUUCCUUCUGGCUCCUCCAGAUACAGUACACUUCCUCAAAGUGCAACUUCAUCUGUUAAUAAACUGAUACCCCCUCCAGUGGAUCAUACCAGUUGGAGUAGGAUGGCGGUUGCACCUCCAUUACUGUCAACAGCUCCACCAGUAUUCACUGUGGCUCAGUCGGGUAUUUCCACAGCUCCGAUGAGCUAUAUGACAUACAACAGUCUACCUCCAGUGGGGAAUCCAGCAUCAGCGCUCCCGACAGGCAGCCCCCGACAGGCUCCACCAUUAAUGUCAAGUUGGGCCCAACCCAUGCCACAGCAGGCUACAGUGACCAUCCAGUCACUGCAUCCAGCUUCAGCUAUACCACCAUUGUACUCCGUCCCACCUGUCUCCACUUCAGCAGUUCCACCACAGCCGGUUCAGCCGACGAUGACUGGAAGCCCAUUAUAUCCACCUGGACUGAUGGCAGCGGCACAGCCUGGACCCGGUCCCACAUUGUAUGCCCCAUAUACAGUGGACAGAGCUCCCCCACGAGUAGGCCAGUAUGUGAAUCAGCAUCCAUCUACCUGGCCUCAUCUUUCAUACACCUCAGCCCAAAAUGUAGCGCUAACAGAAGCACCGUCAUAUCUAUUUCCUCCAUUUGGCACAGUUUCUGGGCAGCCUCCAUUUCAACCACAAUAUGUGCCACAUGUUCAAGCUCCAUCUCAGCCGACUCCAGUCAUAGCACCAGGCGGUCCACAGCCAGUGUUUCCGUCAUAUGCCCCAGCACCAGUUACACCGGCUCAGCCUGUGCCAGUUCCUGCCCUACCAAAAUUAAUCAAUGACAGUGAAAGAGAGUUCACAGAUUUAAAGAUGGCCUUGGAUCAUCUCCUUAACUCACAUGCAGAGUUGUCUGAACACUACAAGUACAGAGUUCUCAUGGAGCAGCUGGUAUUGGAGGAAGCCCGGCUCAUCACACAAGCAUGUCGCCAUCACGCUCAUCCUUACACCGCUGCCAUGCAGGCUCUACAACGGCAGUAUGGACAACCUCAUCAACUUGCACAAGGUGAGAUAGCCGCUAUUUUGAACUCUCCAGAUGUGAAGGCUGGAGAUUACAAAGCUUUCCAGACCUUUGCCCUUCGGGUCGACCUGCUGGUGGGGAUGCUCGCUUCACUAGAGGGCCCGUAUGGUAUGGAGCUGAUGUCUACAGGUCAUGUAGAUCGACUUCUGAGUAAGCUUCCACGAUACCUGAGGGACAGCUUCGUUGAACAUUUGCAAGUCCGAGGACGUAUGCAGACCCAGAGCCUCAAUCCUUACAAUCUGCGAGACCUUUCAGAGUGGUUGAAAGGAAAGGCAGAGGCACAGAGAUUAUCAACCAGGAUGUGUCAACGUAAUCCGACCGAGAAAUCUGCGAUGGUGAAGAGGGAUAAACCUGUCAUUGUGACAAGACCUAAGACUCAGCCAGUGACUAUUUAUCAUGGCAGCAACACAGAGCAGACUCAAACAGCCCAACCAGCAUCAUCCAUGCCCCCGAGCUUAAAGGAAAGGAAACCCAAAGCCAAGGUAUGCCUUUUCUGUAAGAGCAAUGAGCACUAUCUUUCCCAGUGUCCAGUAAUCAAGACGAAGACAGCAGAUCAGAUCCAAACAUGGAUUGAGCAGGGACAAAGAUGUCAUAAGUGUGGGCGGACCAACCAUGAGCCCGAGGCCUGCACACUUAAGAAACCAUGUGAUGCAUGUCAGGAGGUUCACCUUCAGGUUUUACACCCCAUUGCCAAACCUAGCUCCGGGGUAUAUCUCAUAACACCCCAGGGGGGAAUGACCUCAAUCACAGCCAAGCAGGUUACUGGUGUUUACCUCAAAGUCGUGCCAGUCAUUGUGAGUAAUGGGCAAAAGUCACUGCACACCUACGCAGUAUUAGACGACGGCGCCGAGCGCACCAUUAUUCUCACAGAGGCUACACAUCAGCUUGGGUUGGCGGGAGAAACGGAGUCCAUGGCAUUGAGGACAAUAAGACAAGAUGUUGUCCACAUUAAAGGGUCGUCGGUUAGUUUCCACAUUGCAUCCCCAGCUCUGCCACUUAAGAGUCAUCUCAUCACAGGUGCGUUUUCGGCAAACCGCCUGGCUCUUGCUGAGCAGUCUUACCCCAUUCAAGCCUUACAGACGAGAUAUCCCCAUUUGAGAGGGCUCCCUAUCCAGCCAUUCAGUAAUGCACAACCACUCCUCCUCAUCGGUGCAGACAACACUCACCUGAUCAUCGCAAAGGAACCAGUACGUCUCGGCAAGGGAGGAGGACCAGUGGCGGUUUGCACAGAGCUUGGCUGGACGCUGCAGGGACCAGAUAAGACAGUGACACAUCAAGCAACAACCAACUGUUACUUUACCAGUUGUAAACCAUCUCCUGAUGAGCUUCUCCAUCAUGUUGCUCGCUUAUGGCAGCUUGACGUUUUGCCAUUUAGAAGCGAAAAGAUAGUGACACGCUCACGGCAAGAUCAAGAGGCCAUCCAACUGUUGGAGGAGCGUACCAUGCGCAUCAGGGAUGGAGGCAUCAUGAGAUAUGCGACACCACUACUACGAGUGAAGAACGCUGUCCCGCUUACCGCUCCCAUCGACGCAGUGAUGCCCACUUUACGCCAAACUGAGAGGAGUCUGCUUAACAACCCUACUAAAGCUGACAUUUACGAGGCUGAGAUAAGAAAACUCCUUGAGGCAGGGCAUGUCCAGCGGCUCAUCGAAGAGGAGACAACUAAGAUCCCGGAGUCCUGGUUCAUCCCUCACCAUCUCGUAGAGCACAAUGGGAAACACAGGCUGGUGUUUAACUGCUCCUUCUCAUACCAGGGUCUCUCACUGAACGACCAGCUUGCUCCGGGUCUGACACUGGGUCCAUCACUGCUGGGCGUACUGCUGAGGUUUCGGCAACAUGAAGUGGCAGUAAGCGGAGACAUUAAAGCCAUGUUCCACCAGGUGCGGCUUUUACCUGAGGACCAACCCCUGCUACGCUUCAUUUGGAGGAACAUGCGCAGAACCGAUCCACCGGAUGUCUACCAGUGGAAGGUUCUUCCAUUUGGCACCACGAGCAGCCCUUGUUGUGCUACAUUUGCUCUCCACAAGCAUGUGAAGGACAACUCGGCUGGUCAUGAAGACAUCGUACAGACACUGGUGGAGUCAUUCUACGUAGACAACUGCCUACGGAGCUUCCCUGAUGCUACAUCAGCCAAAGCUCUCGUGGACCGCAUGAGAUGUCUACUUGCCUCCGGUGGGUUCGAAAUUCGUCAGUGGGCGAGUAACAAUCCCAGCGUGGUCUCACAUCUCCCAGCUGAAGCCAAAUCUCAAGCCACAGAACUCUGGCUUCUUGAGAAACAUGUGGACCCACAAGAGCCUGCAUUGGGGCUGAGUUGGCACUGCAGUUCCGAUCUGCUGGGUUUCAGGAUCAGACCACUGGAACCUGCCGCACCCACCAUGCGGCAUAUGUACCGUGUGCUGGCCACCCAGUACGAUCCACUCGGUUUCAUGCUUCCCUACACUACCCUGGCCAAAGUGCUGAUCAGGAAGUUGUGGUCCAAACAGAGAGAUUGGGAUGAUCCCAAUUUGCCACCUGAUAUCGUAGCAGCAUGGAUUGACUGGGAGAAAGAGUUACCAGAAAUGGCAACCAUGUUUUUCUCACGAAGAUAUACACCACCAGAGUUCCCCAUUGGAGACGCAACGUACAAUCUGCAUGUGUUCUGCGAUGCAUCAGAGCAAGCUUAUGGUGCGGUAUCGUAUCUGGUAGUGGAAAGUAUGAAGCAGGUUCAUGUAACCUUUGUGAUGGCUCGCUCCCGAGUUGCACCUAAGCGUCAGCUGUCCAUGCCACGACUUGAGCUCUGCGCAGCACUGGCAGGGGCCCAGUUAGCUUCCCUCUUGCAGAAAGAGCUCACCUUGCCCCUCAAGACCAUUAACCUCUGGACGGACUCAACCACCGUUUUGUCUUGGCUGACAUCGGACUCCUGUCGGUUUAAAGUCUUUGUGGGUACGAGAGUCGCUGAGAUCCAGGAGUUGGCAGAACCCAGCGCAUGGAGGUAUGUUGAUUCUGCCAAUAACCCGGCAGAUGACGUCACACGGGGUCAAACCCUAGCUCAACUUAAAGGCCCCAAUCGCUGGAUACAAGGACCACCUUUCCUUUCUGGGCCGUCACGUCAAUGGCCGAGCCAGCCAAGCUCUCAAGUAUCACCGGACACUGACGAGCUCAAGAAGAACAGUUUCUGUGGUUUAACACAGCAUAAUGCAUCCAGUCAACUACUGGACAUCACACAGUUCGUCGACUGGUCUUCUCUGGUGAAAGCCAUGCAUCAGGCUUUAACUAGCAAGGCAGGCUCUGAUGACCAGGCACGAACAUGCGACCUGAGAGAUGCUGAGUUAUAUCUCUUGCAGACCUGUCAAGCCGACAGUUUUCCCGAGGAAGUGCAAGCACUCAAGGUUGGCAAGCCUGUAUCGCCUCACAGCCGACUGAGAAUGCUUGUCCCAGAGAUGGACGCAGGAACAGGUCUCAUGAGAGUUGGAGGGCGUUUAAGGCACAUCAGUCACCUGUCAGAGGAGGAUAUUCAUCCCAUCAUUCUUGACAACAAACAACAUGUCACCCACCUCCUCAUCAAAGCCUAUGAUGCAAAGCUGCUUCACCCUGGUCCCGAGAGGGUAUUUGCCGAAUUAAGGAGGCAGUACUGGAUUCUGCGUGGGCGUCAAGUAAUUAAGCGACAUCAGAGGACGUGUGUUGAUUGUCAGAGAUGGAGAGGCAAACCAUCGGUGCCACGAAUGGCAGACCUGCCACCGGCACGUCUUCGUCUGUUCCAACCCCCUUUCUUCUCUACGGGCGUGGAUUGCUUCGGACCUUACAUGGUGAGGGUUGGGCGACGCCACGAGAAACGUUGGGGGCUGAUUUUUAAAUGCUUGACAACCCGAUGUGUCCAUCUAGACCUCAUCAACAGUCUCGAUGCUGAUGCCUUCUUGCUGGCUCUCUGGCGUUUCAUCGCCCGACGGGGAACCCCCUCCGAGAUCUUGCCAGACCAAGGGACAAAUUUCCGUGGUGCCGAGCGAGAGCUGACGGAGGCCCUUGCUGCCAUGGAGCCUCAGUUACAGGAGGGUUUGUCAAACCAUCAAAUCACCUUCAAGUUCAACCCACCUGGUGCACCACACUUCGGUGGAUUAUGGGAAAGGGAGAUCCGUUCCAUAAAGACUGCCCUCCAGGUUGUCAUCGGAACCGAAGCUCUUCAGGAGGAAGUACUCCUCACUCUUCUGGUAGAAGUAGAGGGUAUACUCAACGCCAAACCAUUAGGUUAUGCAUCCGCCGAUGCAGCUGACCCGGACCCCGUGACUCCAAAUAUGUUAUUGAUGGGGCGGCGUGAUGCAUCCCUGCCACAGGUGUCGUAUGCACCAUCAACCAUCACCAAGAGACGAUGGCAACACAGUCAGAUGAUGGCGGAUCACUUCUGGUCACAGUUCAUCCGGGUCUACCUACCCAACCUUCAAGUCCGCCAUAAGUGGCAGCGAUCAGCAGAAAACCUGAAGGAUGGGACUGUGGUGAUGAUCACCGAUCCUCAGUCCCCGAGGGCUUCAUGGCCGGUGGGAAGGAUUACCAGGGUCAUCACCAGCUCUGAUGGAUGUGUGAGAUCGGCGGAGGUCAAAGUCAACGGCCGGACUUACCAUCGUCCAGUGGCACGUUUGGUGCCACUCCCGAACAUUCCUGAAGAGGAUGAAUGAUGGACAUUUCUUGCACUGGGGAAUUCAUUAGACUUACAUAAUAGCCUUGCUAUUAUGGGGGCGGCUGUUCUGAAUUCCCACUAGAGGGCAGUGUUGUUUUAGUUUUUUGUCAGGCCUUAUUAAGGACAGCUAAGCAAGUUGUGGGUCCUUUGUUAGACAUCUUGUGCAUGGGCAUUUAUUCCACCCGGGGCAGGCAACAGAGAACUGUGUAUGCGUGUUUGAGCCACAGACCAUACACCGUUCACAUACAUACAAACAUACAUCCAUCUGUGGGUGAACUAGAGAUAUCUGUUAGCCCUGUUGCCUGCUUCCGCCACCGUGUAAUAGUUCAAGUCCGGCAUAAUUAAAGCCAAGUGGACUCAUAAA